CAAACAAAAAGAAUCUAUCUCAGAUUGAAUAUGAAAAACCAUCGUCAGGUAAUGUGAUGGUUGUAUUGCUGCUGCUGCUGCUGCUGCUGCUGCUGCUGCUGCUGCUGCUAUAUUUCCCUGAUCAGUUUUUGCUAUUAUAAUGUUGUACGGGGCAACAACAAUUCAAAUAGCAACUAUUAAUUUCUACUACUACAACAAAGAAAGAAAAUUUACAUGUAUGUAGUAGAGAAAAGAAUGUGGUGCGCAUUAUUAAUUU
rnacentral:misc_RNA from 1 species